rnacentral:ribozyme from 1 species
UGCCCAGCAUCUUAUCCCUACCUUCUCGCGGUACUGGCCAAAGUACGAGCAACCUUAGGUAAGAACGGAUAACCGAUACCGGUGGAAACUUUGGUCGUAUGCUGACAGGGAAGG